UACGUAGGGGGCAAGCGUUGUCCGGAUUUACUGGGCGUAAAGCGCGUGUAGGCGGAGCGUUAAGUCUGGCCUGAAAGCCCCCGGCUCAACCGGGGAGAGUGGCUGGAAACUGGCGUUCUGGAGGGCGACAGAGGAGUGUGGAAUUCCUGGUGUAGCGGUGAAAUGCGUAGAGAUCAGGAGGAACACCCGUGGCGAAGGCGGCACUCUGGGUCGCGCCUGACGCUGAGACGCGAAAGCGUGGGGAGCGAACGGG
rnacentral:rRNA from 1 species